rnacentral:rRNA from 1 species
UACGUAGGAGGCGAGCGUUGUCCGGAAUUAUUGGGCGUAAAGCGCACGUAGGCGGCUUUUCAAGUCCCAUGUGAAAUCCCACGGCUUAACCGUGGAAGUGCAUGGGAAACUGGAAAGCUUGAGUACUUAAGAGGAUCGCGGAAUUCCCGGUGUAGAGGUGAAAUUCGUAGAUAUCGGGAGGAACACCAGUGGCGAAGGCGGCGAUCUGGGAAGAUACUGACGCUGAGGUGCGAAAGCGUGGGGAGCAAACAGG